CCUACGGGGGGCUGCAGUGGGGAAUUUUGGACAAUGGGGGCAACCCUGAUCCAGCAAUGCCGCGUGCAGGAAGAAGGCCUUCGGGUUGUAAACUGCUUUUGUCAGGGAAGAAAUCCUGUGGGUUAAUACCUCGUGGGGAUGACGGUACCUGAAGAAUAAGCACCGGCUAACUACGUGCCAGCAGCCGCGGUAAUACGUAGGGUGCGAGCGUUAAUCGGAAUUACUGGGCGUAAAGCGUGCGCAGGCGGUUUUGUAAGACAGAGGUGAAAUCCCCGGGCUCAACCUGGGAACUGCCUUUGUGACUGCAAGGCUGGAGUACGGCAGAGGGGGAUGGAAUUCCGCGUGUAGCAGUGAAAUGCGUAGAUAUGCGGAGGAACACCGAUGGCGAAGGCAAUCCCCUGGGCCUGUACUGACGCUCAUGCACGAAAGCGUGGGGAGCAAACAGGAUUAGAUACCCCGGUAGUC
rnacentral:rRNA from 1 species